rnacentral:rRNA from 1 species
GCGCUGCAUUAGCUAGUUGGUAAGGUAACGGCUUACCAAGGCAACGAUGCAUAGCCGACCUGAGAGGGUGAUCGGCCACACUGGAACUGAGACACGGUCCAGACUCCUACGGGAGGCAGCAGUAGGGAAUCUUCCGCAAUGGGCGAAAGCCUGACGGAGCAACGCCGCGUGAGUGAUGAAGGUCUUCGGAUCGUAAAACUCUGUUAUUAGGGAAGAACAUAUGUGUAAGUAACUGUGCACAUCUUGACGGUACCUAAUCAGAAAGCCACGGCUAACUACGUGCCAGCAGCCGCGGUAAUACGUAGGUGGCAAGCGUUAUCCGGAAUUAUUGGGCGUAAAGCGCGCGUAGGCGGUUUUUUAAGUCUGAUGUGAAAGCCCACGGCUCAACCGUGGAGGGUCAUUGGAAACUGGAAAACUUGAGUGCAGAAGAGGAAAGUGGAAUUCCAUGUGUAGCGGUGAAAUGCGCAGAGAUA